ACUUGCCCACUCUGCGGUAUGAUUUUGGAAAGUGCCACCCAUCUAUUUCUUUAUUGUCAGAGUGUUCGACCACUUUGGUUCAUGUCGCGAUGGUGUCUCCACACAAAUUCCCUCACAUGUGAUUCCAUGGCUUCUUUUCUUGAAAUGGUGUUAUUUGGUGAUCCAAACUCAAACAUGCAUUUUGAUGGGGAAUUUUUACUUUAUGCUUCUAUACUCGUGGAUGCUAUUUGGCUUGCAAGGAAUAAGCUCAUUCGUGACGCGAAGGGGUUUAACAUUGCGGAUAUCCAUUCCUCUGUCCAAGCUAAAUUCAAGCAUGUUAUUCAGCUCAACCAUCAUGGCUCUUGUAACUCUGUUUCUAGAGCUAUUGUGAAGGACUCCUAUAUGAUUGAACCAUAUCCUAAGAGAGCUAAACUUUCCGAUUCCCUUUGACUAGUUACUGCCAUUUCUCAACCUGAAUGGAGACAGAAGGGAAGGCUAUAGGAUGAAACUAAAGCUGCUUUUUCGAGCCCUGAAAGUAUCUCAUAGAAUAGGCAAAACAUGAUUUUCCAGAGAUAGCAAGAGAUAGUCCUUAUCCUCAAUUAUAGCCUGCACAGAACAAAACACCAACGUCUAGAAGAUGUUUUGUACUCCUGGAGUUAUUAGUUGUGGACGACAUCCGGCAAACUGCUGCCUUAGGAUCCCUUGAGUUAAUCGCAGAAGAUGUUAAGCAAUUCGACGUUGUUUUUCGGAGAUUGGGGGACAGAGGAUCUACACAUUUGAGAAGGAAUAAAUAAUGGCAAGUUCCUAGUCUAAUACCGUUUUCUUGUGGAUGCCAACUUCCUAAUAAC